GCAUACAACAUUGAUGGCCAGCUGCUGUUGACCCCCAAGAGGUUAAUUUGAGUGAGAAAGAGUUGAAAAUGUUAUGCAAUGGCAGCUGCAGCUGCAGCUCCUCAAGCCAUGAUACUUCACGUUGUUGAUGCUGACCAUACAAGGAAGAUAAACCUCAGCUCCAGCAUCUGUUGAUGACUUGAUAAACAUUUUGAAGGCCAAGUUUGAGUUUGACUACAACUUCCGCUUGCAGUAUGAAGACCUUGACUUUGAUGGACAACUUACCUGCUUGAUUGAGAGUGCACCUUUUAGUGGAAGGAGGAGAUACAAGUUAUACAGCUGACACAGUAAUACUUUCAGAUGUGUCUUCCCCAAAGCGCCUCAGUAGGUGGCCGACAGACGUUUUUCCCAUGCCUACUUUUGCAUUAUAGAGUUGAAGCUUAGAGAAAGAAAUGCUGCCUUUAAAUGGGAUGGAACAUAUAUUCAGUUGUCUAGAGACCUAAAACAUGGCAUCUUAGAGAAAGUUGCUACUACUGUGUACAGUUUCAAGGCUUACCCAAAUGACAGAGAUAGGAAAGGCAGCUGAAGCUCUUGUUACGAAACCCCCGUCUGAAAGAGGCAGGAUCUAACACUGGGUGGAAUGGAUGGAAGAACAGCAUCAACUUCAAGAUGGGUAACUACAGAACCAAGUUGAGGAAAGCAGGAUGUCAGGAGGUCUCUGUAACGCAAGAAAAAUAAGCAGAAGGAAUCCAGAGAACGAACCAACGCAUUCAAAUAUAAAUAGAAUUAAGUGGGAUGAAGUUCAUUUUCUGCCAAACCAUUUCCUGCUGAGGCAGGAUAGGAUAGGAGUUCCCUGAUCUCUGAGUUGUAGGUGUAUGCAGAAUUCCAGUGAAUUACAAACCAGAACUUGCUAAACAUCUUCUAUGCUGAGAUUGACCAUCACACUCGGUUGAUGACCUUGUAUAGACAGAGGGCAUCGAAGACUGGAAGGACUGCUGACGCUUUGGUUGACAUUCUGAGGUGUCAUGAUCUACAGGAAAGGAACCCCAAAAGACAAUUCCUCUGUCACGGACGUGAUGAGAGACGGACCAAGGCGCAGCGUGAUUGGAGUUCCAUAUCUUUUAUUACUGUGAAACUUAAACAAACCAAGAAACAAACAACAACCGUGAAGUACCGUAGUGCUACAUGCACUCACUCAAAACAAUAUCCCACAAAACACAGGUGGGAAAAAGGCUACCUAAAUAUGAUCCCCAGUUAGUGUCAACACUUACCAGCUGCCUCUAAUUGGGAAACAUACAACUCACCAA